rnacentral:rRNA from 1 species
GGGGUGCUCGAGUGGCGAACGGGUGAUUAACACGUGAGUAACCUGCCCUUGACUUUGGGAUAACUUCAGGAAACUGGGGCUAAUACCGGAUAGGAGCUCCUGCUGCAUGGUGGGGGUUGGAAAGUUUCGGCGGUUGGGGAUGGACUCGCGGCUUAUCAGCUUGUUGGUGGGGUAGUGGCUUACCAAGGCUUUGACGGGUAGCCGGCCUGAGAGGGUGACCGGCCACAUUGGGACUGAGAUACGGCCCAG